rnacentral:rRNA from 1 species
UGAGUAAUGUCUGGGAAACUGCCUGAUGGAGGGGGAUAACUACUGGAAACGGUAGCUAAUACCGCAUAACGUCGCAAGACCAAAGAGGGGGACCUUCGGGCCUCUUGCCAUCGGAUGUGCCCAGAUGGGAUUAGCUAGUAGGUGGGGUAAAGGCUCACCUAGGCGACGAUCCCUAGCUGGUCUGAGAGGAUGACCAGCCACACUGGAACUGAGACACGGUCCAGACUCCUACGGGAGGCAGCAGUGGGGAAUAUUGCACAAUGGGCGCAAGCCUGAUGCAGCCAUGCCGCGUGUAUGAAGAAGGCCUUCGGGUUGUAAAGUACUUUCAGCGGGGAGGAAGGGAGUAAAGUUAAUACCUUUGCUCAUUGACGUUACCCGCAGAAGAAGCACCGGCUAACUCCGUGCCAGCAGCCGCGGUAAUACGGAGGGUGCAAGCGUUAAUCGGAAUUACUGGGCGUAAAGCGCACGCAGGCGGUUUGUUAAGUCAGAUGUGAAAUCCCCGGGCUCAACCUGGGAACUGCAUCUGAUACUGGCAAGCUUGAGUCUCGUAGAGGGGGGUAGAAUUCCAGGUGUAGCGGUGAAAUGCGUAGAGAUCU